GCGGCCUUCGGGAUGAGCGGCGGACGGGUGAGUAACGCGUGGGAAUGUGCCCUUCUCUACGGAAUAGCCACUGGAAACGGUGAGUAAUACCGUAUACGCCCUUAGGGGGAAAGAUUUAUCGGAGAAGGAUCAGCCCGCGUUAGAUUAGGUAGUUGGUGGGGUAACGGCCUACCAAGCCUACGAUCUAUAGCUGGUUUUAGAGGAUGAUCAGCCACACUGGGACUGAGACACGGCCCAGACUCCUACGGGAGGCAGCAGUAGGGAAUCUUGGACAAUGGGGGAAACCCUGAUCCAGCCAUGCCGCGUGAGUGAAGAAGGCCUUAGGGUCGUAAAGCUCUUUCGCCUGUGAUGAUAAUGACAGUAGCAGGUAAAGAAACCCCGGCUAACUCCGUGCCAGCAGCCGCGGUAAUACGGAGGGGGUUAGCGUUGUUCGGAAUUACUGGGCGUAAAGCGCACGUAGGCGGAUUAGUAAGUUAGAGGUGAAAUCCCAGGGCUCAACCCUGGAACUGCCUUUAAUACUGCUAGUCUUGAGUUCGAGAGAGGUCAGUGGAAUUCCGAGUGUAGAGGUGAAAUUCGUGGAUAUUCGGAGGAACACCAGUGGCGAAGGCGGCUUACUGGCUCGAUACUGACGCUGAGGUGCGAAAGUGUGGGGAGCAAACAGGAUUAGAUACCCUGGUAGUCCACACCGUAAACGAUGAAUGCCAGUCGUCGGGUAGCAUGCUAUUCGGUGACACACCUAACGGAUUAAGCAUUCCGCCUGGGGAGUACGGUCGCAAGGUUAAAACUCAAAUGAAUUGACGGGGGCCCGCACAAGCAGUGGAGCAUGUGGUUUAAUUCGAUGC
rnacentral:rRNA from 1 species